CCCUUAGAUGUUCUGGGCCGCACGCGUGCUACACUGAGUGGAUCAGCGGGUCAGGUUGCGCGAAAGCGUUUCCUAAUCUUUAAAUCCGCUCGUGAUGGGGAUUGACGGUUGCAAUUUUCUGUCAUGAACGAGGAAUUCCCAGUAAGCGCGAGUCAUAAGCUCGCGUUGAUUACGUCCCUGCCCUUUGUACACACCGCCCGUCGCUACUACCGAUUGAACGGUUUAGUGAGGGCCUCGGAUUAGUCUCGGCCCGCUCUUUACCGGGCGGCGCCGUUGGUCGAGAAGACGCUCGAACUUGAUCGUUUAGAGGAAGUAAAAGUCGUAACA
rnacentral:rRNA from 1 species